AGUUCCCAAAUAUAUUUCUUUGACAUAUUUUGAAACGGCCCUGCAAAGCUGUCUCUUGUGGGGGAAAUUUACAUCCUGUAGAGACUCCUCUUCCUUUUCCAGGUCUUCUUCUGAUCCUGAAGAGAUUAGCUGGGAGUCUAGCACCUUUCAAAGGUCUAAGUAGGAAACAUUUGCCAUCUAUUGCCUCUAAGGGCAGCCACUUAUGAGACUUCAUCUACAUAAUAAUCUUGGUCUCCACAACCCCUUGUCUUAACCCAGACACUCAUUUCUGUUUAUUACACGUCUUUAGAUAAUAACUUAACUCUUUCAACUAAUUGGCAGUCAGAAAACUUUUGAAUCCACAUGUGACCUGUAAGCCCCCACUGGAGUUGACCCACCUUUCUGAACUGAACCAAUGUAUACCUUACAUGUAGUGAUUGAGGUCUUAUGUCUCCUUGAAACAUAUAAAACCAAGCUGUACCACAACCACCCCGGGCACAGGUUCUCAGGACCUCCUGGGGCUGUGUCAUUGGUCAUGGUCUCCACAUCUGGCUCAGAACAAAUCUCUUCAAAUAUUUUAUAGAGUUUGGCUUUUUCAUCAACAGCCCCACACUAUCACAUGGAUUCUUCUUCUUUUCUUCUGUCCAGCCAGAAGAUACCCAGCCACUCAAUGUGGUAGACCAACAUUUCCUCAUCCAGGUCUUAAUGUCCCCUAGGAAGACCUCUGGAAGGGUCUCCUGCCCCAUCCAGAUUAGGUACCCUCUUUUGGCUCCAAAGAAAACUCUCUACCUCCAACAUAUGCUAACAUUACACAAUUUUGUAAUAACCUGUUUACCUAUCUGUACUGCCAACUACAACAUAAGCCAGAAGAACCAAAAAACCAUGCUUAGUGCACUGUUAUGCUCCCAUUAGCCAGCACAGAACUAGUCACAUAGUAGACACUCAGUAAAUAUUUACCAAAUGAAUGUAUCUCAUCCAACUCCAUUUUCUAGUUGAAGUAAUGGUUUAGAGAUGAUAAGCCCCUUAUCCAUGACUACAUCAAAAAUAGUAGUUAAGCUGGGUUAGAACUCGCAACUCCUGCCUGUAAAUGUGGGCUCUUCUCCACUUUGCUACUCCUCUUUGUGCUGGAAGGUUAAGAAUAUCCAGAUGUGAUGAGGUUUAUUUUUUAGAGGUAGGUGAGUGUGUGUGUGUGUGUGUAUGUGUGUGUGUGUGUGUUUAUGCUCAGCCCUUUUGUAUUAAAAAAGAGAGGCACACUCAGGUUCCUGCAAGUAAUAGGAUUUUUGGGGGGAGUUUCCUUGUUUUCUUUUUAGACACACACGUUAAGGAUGAUAGAAAGCUCAUGUGACAAGAAUUGCCAUCUAGCCAGGCCCGAAGGAAACCUGACCAGGAACUAGGUUUUCUCCUUGUUCCUGAGCAGCAAAAUGUCACCAGUUCCCUGCCAUCCUGAGGACUCAGCUCUGCCCUAUUGCUUCUGUUCUUGUUGCUGCUAUCUACCAGUGACCCACCUUCUGUGCAUGCCUUCCUGAUGGCUACUGCUUAACAGGAAGAUGAGCUUGCACAUGCCUUCUCUUUGCAAAUUUUUAUCAUCUCUUAUUGCUACCCAACUGAUUUUCUCUUCUAUAUUUUCUAAUCCUAAUUUCUGACGACGCUACUCUGGUUGGCUCCUUUGGCUACAUUCUUUUCUGUUUGGGUAUGGUUUUUUUUUUUUUUAUGUCUGGCCACUCCAUAGGUUAGCCCAAGGGCUGGCUGCUUUUGCAGACAAUUAGCUAUGAUGUGGGAGGACAAAGGCAGGUCAUGUGGAAUAUAACAUGUUUUUUCCAUGGAGAUUGUAGGGGAGGCAUUUUUUUCUUUCCUUGUGAUUGAGAGUGAGGCAGAUAACAUCAUUGACCUGUCCAAUACAGCAAAAAACAAAAAAACACCUCAAACCACAGUUUUUGGAUAACAGUCCAAUGCAUUCUCUCAUGGCAAGGUAUAGUAGUAUCUUUAAAAGGCUCAAAUACUUUCAUUCCGAGCAUGUGUGGGUCCCAAUUUUCUUUUUCAGGUUAAGGGGCUGGGGAAAAACCAUGCUAGGGGUGGUGUAAAGAAAAUGGAAAGUAAAAUAACUCAGAUUGUAACAUUAUUUGACUUAGACAAUAACAAGAGAAUUUAAAUGGAGCUAGAUCUCAAAGUGAUUUCUAUGAAAACAGACAACUAAGUUUUAUUUUUCUUUCUUUUUUAAAAAAGAUUUUAAUCUAAUCUGAUAGAGUAGGAGAAAAUAACUCAAUGUUCUGAAAAUAAAUUUCCCAGAGGAGGCCAUUAAGGCAGCCCUUUUGUUUCCUGUCAUACUCUGAAUCAGCUACAAGGACAAACUCUAUUUGUUUGAGUACAUUAAUUUUGCUCAAUGGCCUUUCUAUAAAAUGAGCAUCAAAUUGAUGGGACUGGACCUCAGUAAAGAAGAAGUUCCAAUUUUCUCUGGAUGGAUUGUUCUGGAUGUGCAGUGGAAAAUUAUUAUUAACAGCAAUUCAUGUUUACUAUCCAGUGAGAACAAGAGAAAGAUGGAGUUUAGAAACACAGCUGUAUCUGACUAAGCACUGAGCACCAUAGGACAAAUUACUAGGGAAUGAUGAGCUGAUCUUUGUCUUCUGUGUGGCUAGUCUACUUGGGCCAUAUAUGGUAUGCUGGACCACAGAUUUUCUCUGACUGUGUCUUGGUUCAGUAAUUUCAGGGAAGCAAGAUAGGUUUUUAAUAUGAUCUAGUCAUUUGGGUUGUCUUGUUGCAGGUACCAUAUGGUGCUGAUGUGUCGGAUGCCUCCAUGUGUUGAUUUCAAUCAUUCAACUGGACACAUGGUGAGAGGCUGAACAGACAUGCUUCCUUCCCUCAUGGAGUUUAUAUUGCAAUUGAAUCUGGUUCCGAGACCUUCUGAUUCUGAUUCAGCCUUCUAAGUUCAAACCAAAGCAGAGGUAUUCAAUGGCUGUUAAUUUUCCUUCCCAGGUUAAGGGGUUGGGAGUAAAGCAUGCUGAAAUAAUGUAUGAAGAAGGAAAUUAAAAGAAGUAAAAUAGGCCAGGCACAGGGGCUCAUGCUUGUAAUCCCAGCACUUCGGGAGGCUGAGUUGGGAGAUCACUUAAGGUCAGGAGUUCAAGACCAACCUGGUCAACAUGGUGAAACCCCAUCUCUACUAAAAAUAAAAAUAUUAGCCGGAUGUAGUGGCACACACCUGUGGUCCCAGCUACUCGGGAGGCUGAGGCAGGAGAAUCACUUGAACCCUGGAGGCGGAGGUUGCUGUGAGCCAAGAUCACGCCACUGCAUUGCAGCCUGGGGACAGAGUGAGACUCUGUCUCAAAAAGAAAAAAAGGAAGCAAAAUAACUUCAUCUUCCUGGGGCUCAGUCAGAACCCAGCAAGUUCCUGCAGACAGUGGGGUAUGGAGAGCUGCUAUAAUUCACAUUUCUCGUAAAUGUAUAAGACUUUGCCAUUUGCAUUCUAUGUGCUAAGCUCAUUCCUGAUUCUAUUUAUCUUCUCUUCCAUGGAAAUAAACAAAGACCUACUCAAACGAGAGCAGGCAAAAGCUCCUUAUUUACAGCUUGUUAUAGCAAGGGAGUCAGCCACCAUCACUUGUAUUUGGCAGAGACUCAAAGGCAGGCAGAGGGGUGGGAAAGUUUCAUAGUAACAAAAAGGGAAGGCUUCAGGUACACCCUAAUGGGAGGCUGUUGGCAGGAGAAGUUGGAGGCAGCUAACCAGAAAGAGGGCAUCCUAUGUGAUUGAUUCGGGUAUAAUAUUUGGCUUUCUCUGGUUGGCCUUGAGUUGGAAGCAGGGAUUAAAAUUAGGGAAGCUGGCAGUUAUUAAUCAAGUCUUGGCCAUUUUGGGCCAAUGGCUAGAGGGGUUAUUGUUUAGCUUCCUGGGCUGUUGGCUAGAGAUAAUGGGUUGGUUACUACAGAUUGUGGGUCAGGAAGUUCUACUUAAAAAAAAAAAAUAUAUAUAUAUAUGUGUGUGUGUGUGUGUGUGUGUGUAUGUGUGUGUGUGUGUAUAUAUGUGUGUGUGUGUACAUGUAUAUAUAUAAAGAGAAAGACAGAGAGGGUCUCACUCUGUCACCCAGGCUGGAAUGCAGUAGCUCAAUCACAGCUCACUGCAGCCUAGACCUCCUGGGCUCAAGUGGUCCUCCCACCUCAGCAUCCCAAGUAGCUGGAACUAUAGGUAUGCACCACCAUGCACAGCCAAUUUUUUUGUAUUUUUUAUAGAGACGGUGUCUCACUAUGUUGUCCAGGCUGGUCUCAAACUCUUGGCUCAAGCGAUUUGCCCACCUCAGGCUCCCAUAGUGCUGUGAUUAUGGGCAUGAGCCACUGUGUCUGGCUUCAGAGUUCUACUUUGGUAGAUGGUCUGGCAUCUGACUUAUCAUUUUACCUAGAUUGCUUCAUGUAUUUUAACUUUCAAAUCCUUUAUCUUACACAUAUCUAUUCAUAGCCAUCAAUUCUGCAACCUCCAUAGUACAUUUUCUAAAAAUUUUUAAUUAUAAAAAGAAUACAUGUUCAUCAAAUUAAAAGUUUUAAAGAUAGAGCUAAACAAAAGGAAAAAUAAUUUCAUAAACUCCCACCAACCACAUUUCUGCUGACAAUUUGCUCUAUGUUCUUUCUAUGCAUAUAUGUCAAUACAAUCCCAUAGCACUUUGUACAUUCGUAACUCUUCUAUAAAUAGUUGUCGUGUGUGCUUCCUCCCCUCCCCCCAUUGGAGAUUUGCAGAGAUAGAGAGUGUUUUUCAUUUAACCCUUACUCUCCAAACCUUACAUGGUGUGUUAAACCUGGUAGCAUGUUUAAUAAGCAUUAAGUACAAUUGGGAAAUAGGGAAAUUUCAUGUGGUUAAACCCAGCGGAUGGAUGGAUAAAUGGAUGAAUGGACGGAUGGAUAAAUUGUAAUACCUUUAACCAUUGUCAAUUCUAUUCCAUGUAACUAAUGAUUUAAACAUCAAACUUUUGAAUGAACAUGUUGUGGCCUCUUGACAGCAAUGGAGAAAAUUCUGACUUCUGCUCUUAGCUUAGUUAUUUCUCACAUUUGUCUAUGACUGAUAGUUAGCCAAUUACUAAAUAACAGUGUCAAUCCCUUUCAUCCAUACGUGCAUUCAACAUUUUUAUAAAACUGCAAUCUCCCUGUCACGAGUAGAUAGAUCAUUUUCAUUUUUCAAUUAUUUGAGCUUCAGUUUAGGACUUUGGUUAAUGGUUUUGCAAGACAUUGAUUGGAGAGGUCCUUUUCUUUCCUGAUUAAAAGCAUGUAUGAUGUCGUCUCUCUAGCUAUGUUUUAUUUGUAUCUAGUAAUUGUGAAUCUAAAUAUAUGACUAUGGUGAUCUGUCACAUACUAUAUUAUGUGAAUUUUUCAGGAAGCAAAAUAAUUCUAAAAAAAUCAUUUCAGAAGAUUGUCAUUAGUCAGACUAAGGAUAAUGGAAGUAAAUCUUAUGUAAAAUAAAUUGUUUUCAAUAAAACAUUAUAAUAGAAAAUCACUGUUGCCAACUCCUAUUCAAUAUUCCUCCUAUUAUAGUAUCUGUGUAUCAUAUCUAGAGAGGAGUUUCUACAUAAAUUGUUUCUACGGCCAUUGUCCUUGGGGCUUAGUCUUUAAAAAACUACAGUUGGUAGUAGCAUGGAGGAGAAGAGUACAAAGUCAGCCGUCCUGAGCUCCCCCUCAUUCUAGCUCUGUCUCUUACAGGUUUUGUGAUCUCGGAUAUGUUAUCUUCUCUGCUGGAGUCUUACUUACCUGUUCUGUAAAAUGGGGAUCAAAUGUUAUCUUGUAGAAGAUAGUCAUUCAUUGUUUCAUUCAACGUACACUUACUUAUGUGUCCAAGCCCUGUGGUAGGCAGAGCUAUUGGGUGAUAGCACAACUCCAUGCACAAUAUGUUUCUAUUGUUUUUUAUGCUCUGGGUAUGAGUAGGAUGGAGGCAGGCAAGGGGCUUCCUCAAAUCUUCUGUUGUAGUGAAAUUGGCAACUUCAAGAUAUAAGCCAGUUCCUGGUAACAACAUGCUGUAGUUUCAGGUAUGAGUAUUGGGGCUCAAAUCUUUGGUAAUUUGAUUUUGGGAAACUCUGAACUGUUCCCUUUCAAUUCUCUCCUGGGCAAAAUGUAAAUAAUGGUUUCUGCUUCACUUACUGUCCAGAAUUCUCUAGGUGGUUAUAUCUGUUAGCAGUUUACAUGCGUUACCAGAAUCAAAUGAGAUCAUCAAAAGGCAUUAUCUCUGCCCAUGACCUUUGUAAACUGUAAAUAUAUAAUUGGUGAUUAAAAUUCUUACUUUUUUAUUUUUUAACUCAGGUUGGUUUGAGGAAAGCAAUGUUUUUCAGUUUUUUGGUUAAACUUUCCCGGAGGAGUUUGAAACUCUUCCCUGCACCUACCUUAGAGUUUAUCCACAGCAUCGCAUGUUUAUUGACAUCAACUAGGAAGAAUUUCAAAAAUCCCAAGGUGUCUUGCCCUAAGCAAUAAUCUCUGGGGGUGCAGCUGUUAAAAAACUCCCCAGGUGAUCCGAAUGUGCAGCCAGGGCAGAGAAACACAGCCUCAAGAAAUGAUUUUCCAGUUUAACACCUGAAGUCCAGCCAGAAAAACUCCUAAGCAUUACAACUGUUCCAGGUGGGCAGGUAGUGGUUUAUCCAACCUCCCUCUCACUUUCAGGAAGGUGGAGGCUGCAGCCAUUCUGGGUGCUUGGACAGGUGGAUAGAGGAUCUGCCUCUGCCAUUACAAAAUGCCAUUGCCAGCAUUUAAUAUUUUCAAUAAUAGUAAUAAAAUCACUUUUUAUAAUUGAAGUGCUUCACAGAUUCCAGAGCGCUUUCAAAUGCAUCAACUCAUUGAAAUAAAUUUACUUCGCCCCCACCAAUAAAAAGAAACAAGUGCUUUUUUAUAGGAAUUUUAGGAAGCAUAGAAAAGCUGAAAGAAGACAUCAAAAAAUCUUCCAAAUCCCAUUACUUAAAGACAAUCAUAUUUUGUAAAUUUUCUUCUAGUUUUUUUAACAAAUUAGUUAAAAUUUUUAUCAUAAAAUUAUGCAUGUUUAUUGUAAAAAAAAGUUAAAUACCGAAUUUGUAAAGCAAAAAAUGAAAGUCCCUAUCCUCCCUCCAACCCCUCACCUAUCCUAACUCCUACCCCCACCUUAUUAAAGUACACUCUUCAGAGUCAGACGUUGUUAACGGUCUUUGUUUUUCCAAUUUAGAUGAUUUUUUAUUUUUUAUUUUUCAUUUUUUUUAAAGUUUCCAUAGGUUAUUGAGGAACAGAUGGUGUUUGGCUAUGUGAGUAAGUUCUUUAGUGGUGAUUUGUGAGAUUUUGGUGCACCCAUCACCCGAGCAGUAUACGCUGCACCCUAUUUGUAGUCUUUUAUCCCUCACCCCCUUUCUACCCUUUCCCCCUGAGUCUUCAAAGUCCAUUGUGUCAUUCUUAUGCCUUUGCAUCCUCAUAGCUUAGCUCCCACUUAUGAGUGAGAACAUACAAUGUUGGUUUUCUAUCCCUGAGUUACUUGACUUAGAAUAAUAGUCUCCAGUCUCAUCCAGGUCACCGUGAAUGCCGUUAAUUCAUUCCUUUUUGUGGCUAAGUAGUAGUCCAUCAUAUAUACAUACCACAGUUUCUUUAUCUGCUCAUUGAUUGAUGGGCAUUUGGGUUGGUGCUAUGGUUUUGCAAUUGCGAAUUGUGCUGCUAUAAACAUGCGUGUGCAAAUAUCUUUUUCGUAUAAUGACUUCUUUUCCUCUGAUAGAUACCCAGUAGUGGGAUUGCUGGAUCAAAUGGUAGUUUUACUUUUAGUUCUUUAAGGAAUCUCCACAGUGUUUUCCAUAGUGGCUAUACUAGUUUACAUUCCCACCAGCCAUGUAGAAGUGUUCCCUGAUCACCACAUCCAUGCCAACAUCUACUAUUUUUCGAUUUUUAGAUUAUGGCCAUUCUUGCAGGAGUAAAGUGGUAUCACAUUGUGGUUUUGAUUUGCAUUUCCCUGAUCAUUAGUGAUGUUGGGCAUUUUUUUAUGUUUGUUGGCCAUUUGUAUAUCUUCUUUUGGGAAUUGUCUAUUCAUGUCCUUAGCCCACUUUUUGAUGGGAUCAUUUUUUUUUUCUUGCUAAUUUGUUUGAGCUCCUUAUAGAUUCUGGAUAUUAGUCCUUUGUCAGACAUAUAGAUUGUGAAGGUUUUUUCCCACUCUGUGGGUUGUCUCUUUACUCUGCUGACUGUUCUUUUUGCCAUGAGAAAGCUCCUUAGUUUAAUUAAGUCCCAGCAAUUAUCUUUGGUUUUAUUGCAUUUGCUUUUAGGUUCUUGGUUAUGAAAUCCUUGCCUAAGCCAAUGUCUAGAAGGGUUUUGCCAAUGAUAUCUUCUAGAAUUUUUGUAGUUUCAGGUCUUAGAUUAAGUCCUUAAUCCAUCUUGAGUUGAUUUUUGUAUAAGGUGAGAGAUGAGGAUCCAGUUUCAUUCUCCUGUAUGUGGCUAGCCAAUUAUCCCAGCACCAUUUGUUGAAAAGGAUGUCCUUUCCCCACUUUAUGUUUUUGUUUGCUUUGUCAAAGAUCAAUUGGCUGUAAGUAUUUGGGUUUAUUUCUGAGUUCUCUUUUCUGUUCCAUUGGUCUAUGUGCCUGUUUUUAUACCAGUACCAUGCUGUUUUGGUGACUAUGGCCUUAUAGCAUAGUUUGAAAUCAGGUAAUGUGAUGCCUCCAGAUUUGUUCUUUUUGCUUAGUAUUGCUUUGGAUAUGUGGGCUCUUUUUUGGUUCCAUAUGAAUUUUAGAAUUGUUUUCUCUAAUUCUGUGAAGAAUGAUGGUGGUAUUUUGAUGGGAAUUGUGUUGAAUUUGUAGAUUGCUUUUAGCAGUAUGGUCAUUUUCACAAUAUUGAUUCUACCUAUCCAUGAGCUCCUCCUCAACAUAGUAUUGGAAGUCCUGGCCUGAGCAAUCAGACAAGAGAAUGAAAUACAGGGCAUCCAAAUUGGUAAAGAAGAAGUCAAACUGUCGCUGUUUGCUGAUGAUAUGAUUGUUUACCUAGAAAACCCUAAGGACUCCUCCAGAAAGCUCCUAUAACUGAUAAAAGAAUUCAGGAAAGUUUUCUGGAUACAAAAUUAAUAUACACAAAUCAGUAGCUCUUCUAUACACCAACAGCGACCAAACUGAGAAUCAAAUCAAUAAUGCAACCCCUUUUACGAUAGCUGCAAAAAAAAAGAUACUUAGGAAUAUACCUAACCAAGGAGGUGAAAGACCUCUACAAGGAAAAGCUACAAAACACAGCUGAAAAAAAUCACAGACAACACAUACUAAUGGUCUUUACAUACAAACACUUUCUGGCCUUUCCUUUCUCUGUGCAUAAGUUUAAAAAGCUUUGUUUUUCGUGGUUGUAUUCUUAAAGUACAUGCAACUUUUAUUCAGUUUUACCUCAGUGAAAAUUAUAUCAUAAGCUUUCUUAAGUAUGACUUUUAAUGGCUGCUUAAUAUCCUAUUGAAUAUAUGUAUUUUAAUUUGCUUAAUUAUGUACUGUUGAAUAAUUAGUUUUUUUCUAGCUUUUUACUAUUAUAAAACCUGCAGUAACUGUCUUGCACAUACAGCCUUUUCUGUUCUAUUUAGGCAAAUUCUUUCUUUCUUUCUUUUUUUUGAAUAGAGAAAGGGUUCUCACUAUGUUGUCCAAGUUGGUCUUGAACUCUUGGCCUCAGAUGAUUCUCCCACCUUGGCCUCCCAAAGUGCUGGAAUUACAGGAGUGAGCCACCGUGCCUGGCCUCUUUCCACAAUUUCUCUAGAUAUAGCCACACUCCGGGAGAGCAUUCCUGGGUUGCGUUAAUGAUUCUUUCCAUGACCCUGGGAAGUUGGCUAUGCAGGAAGUUGGCUAACACAGAGGAAGGAGCAUGGGUUUUGAGGGUCAGACAAACUUAUAUUCAAAUCCUAGCUUUGGCCGAGUGUGAUGGCUCACACCUGUAAUCCCAGCACUUGGGAAGGCUGAGACAGGUGGAUCACUUGAGGUCAAGAGUUCAAGACCAGCUUGGCCAACAUGUGAAACCCUAUCUCUACCAAAAAUACAAAAAUUAACUGGGUGUGGUGGUUGCACACCUGAAAUCCCAGCUACCUGGGAGGCUGAGGCAUGAGAAUCGCUUGAAGCUGGGAGGCGAAGGUUGCAGUGAGCUGAAAUCACACCACUGCACUCCAGCCUGGGUGACAGAGCAAGACUCUGUCUCAAAAAAGAAAAAAAAAAUCCUAACUUUGCCAUUGAUUAGCUGUGUGACUUUGGAAAAUAACUUAACCUCUCUGACUCUCAUAUUGUGCAUUUGUGAUACAGAGAUAAUAAUGCCUACUUAAUGGUGCUACUAUAUUAUGAAGAUUAUUUUGUAAAGCACUUAUGGAGAUAACUUCCCUGAAUUAACACAGAGUAAAAGAUAUUUCCUGUACUUCCUUGAAAACAACAAUGUUGUGGGGACCUUUAAAAAAAUUGAAGUGUGGCUUAUAUACUGUAAGGUGCACAUGUUUUAAACACAUAACUUGACGAUUUUUAAGCAUAUGUCUAAACCCAAGUAACUACAAUUCAGAUCAAGAAAUAGAACAUUUUCAUCACCCAGAAGAUUCCCUUAUGCCUCCCACUUCCCCAUCAGUAACCAUUUUCCUUCUCAGAGGUAAGUGCUGAUGUCUACCAAAAUGGAUUAGUUUUUUGUCUUAAGCUUUAUUAUUUUUUCUUUUAUUUCUUUAAAUAAAGUCUCUUAUAAAUUUAUUUCCCCAACAAUUUUGUCAUUAGGAUAGCAUUGGCUUUCACCUAGAUAACAAGAUUUUUCAGCACAAAUAUAAAGUUUUCUGUAAGUAGCAUCCAGUAGUUAGUCCUACGCUGAAUCCAAAACCUCUUAUUUUGCAUGUCAUUCUUUCCCAGUCUUCAGUUGCACAGCGGAAGAGGAAAAGGGUGGAAGAGCAGAGGAAGAGAGGGUGCUAUUUUAUCAGGGACAAUGAGAAUUCAACAUGGCUGGGGAGGCCUCAGGAAACUUACAAUCAUGGCAGAAGGCGAAGGGGAAGAAAGGCACCUUCUUCACAAGGCUGCAGGAGGGAGAAUCAUCUUAACCUUUAUUUAAAGGAAUCAGACAGUAUAUACUUUUGUGUUUCUGGUAUCUUUUGCUCAAUAAUUAUGUCUGUAAGAUUUAUCCAUGCUGUUGUGAGUUUUAAUAGUUUGUCCUUUUAUAUUGUGUCAUAUUUCAAGCUCUGAACAUCCCAACAUUUGUUUAUCUUUCUGCUAUUGAUGGACAUUUGAGCUGUUUCCAGUUUGGAUCUAUUAUGAACACUUUGGCACAUAUCUCUAGUGGACACAGAACACUCAUUUUUUUUGGUAUAUAUACCUAGGAGUAAAAUUGCUGGGUCAUGGGGUAGGUGAAUAUUUAGCUUUGGUAGAUAUUUCCAUUAUCGUCUACGAAGACAGAUUUUGAAAAGCUAAAGUUGGUCAGGCGCGGUGGCUCACACCUGUAAUCCCAGCAUUUUGGGAGGCCAAGGCGGGUGGAUUACCUGAGGUCAGGAGUUCAAGAGCAGCCUGGCCUAGUUGGUGAAACCCUGUCUCUACUAAAAAUAUUUUUAAAAAUUAUCCAGGCAUGGUGGUGGGCACCUGUAAUCCCAGAUAUUCGGGAGGCUGAGGUAGGAGAAUCGUUUGAACCCGGGAGACGGAGGUUGCAGUUGUGAGCCAAGAUCAUGCCACUUGCACUCCAGCCUGGGCGACACAGUGAGACUGUCUCAAAAAAAAAAAAAAAAGUCACUUAAUUAUUUAUUCGAUAAAUGGUAAACGCUACUAUGCAUCACGUACAGUCCUAAGUCCUGAGUUGGAGAAGUUCCAGGGUUAGUCAAUUGAGAGAAUCAAAGACAUUAGGGACCACUUUUUCUUUUUACCCUCUUUAGAGUGUUUUAGGGCACUGAACUUCAUCUCCUCAUUCCUACCCUCCUGGUCUUAAGAUGGUCUCUGCAGUUUCUCGUAUUAUAUUAAUAUCAUUACAAGAUCUCAUCCACAUACAAAAAGCAGGUGAGGAGAAGGGGAAUGGUUCUCCUUGUUUGUGCAUUUUAUUUUAUUUUUUAAUAAAAAAAAAAACUUUCUCAUAACUCUCCAGCAAGCUUUCCCUCUGGCCCCAUUGGCUGGGUUAGGUGAUAUGCUCAUGCCAUAGCAGAAAAGUCUGGAUGAAGAGUUUCCAAUGACUGGGUGUGGUGGCUCAUGCCUGUGAUAGCAGCACUUUGGGAGGCUGAGGGAGGAGGAUUGCUUGAGCCUAGGAGGUCAAGGUUGUAGUGAGCCGAGAUAGUGCCACCGCACUCCAGCCUGGGGCAACAAAGCAAGACCCUGUUUCAAAAAUUUAAAAAAGUUUCCAGCAUUUUCCUUCUUUUUGAGUUUCCAGCAUUUUCAACUUCUUUAAUGAGAAGCAUGUUCAGCCAGCAAAGAAGAAGAAGAAAAAUGGUUAUAGACAAGCAACCAACAGUAUCUGCCAUAGCUAUUUUAUAGCUGUUUAAACUUGGGGAAAUUUGGAUACACAAAGAGAUGCCAGGGAUUAACCUACCCAGAGGAAAGGCCACGUGAGGACACAGCAAGAAGGUGGCCGUCUGCAAGCCGAGAGAGGCCUCAGAAGAAGCCAAACCUGCUGAUACCUUGGACUUCCCAGCCUCCAGAUUUGUGAGAAAUAAACUACUGUUGUUUUAAGUCA